ACAGUUCUGAUUUCAACCCACUGAUUUAUAUACAGGCUUUACUAUAAGCAGGUAUACCCCGAAUUGCUGUGUGUAGUCUUUGCCUGUCUCCAAUGACGGGCUUUUUUUUUA
rnacentral:other from 1 species